UUAAGCGACUAAGCGUACACGGUGGAUGCCCUGGCAGUCAGAGGCGAUGAAGGACGUGCUAAUCUGCGAUAAGCGUCGGUAAGGUGAUAUGAACCGUUAUAACCGGCGAUUUCCGAAUGGGGAAACCCAGUGUGAUUCGUCACACUAUCAUUAACUGAAUCCAUAGGUUAAUGAGGCGAACCGGGGGAACUGAAACAUCUAAGUACCCCGAGGAAAAGAAAUCAACCGAGAUUCCCCCAGUAGCGGCGAGCGAACGGGGAGCAGCCCAGAGCCUGAAUCAGUGUGUGUGUUAGUGGAAGCGUCUGGAAAGGCGCGCGAUACAGGGUGACAGCCCCGUACACAAAAAUGCACAUGCUGUGAGCUCGAUGAGUAGGGCGGGACACGUGGUAUCCUGUCUGAAUAUGGGGGGACCAUCCUCCAAGGCUAAAUACUCCUGACUGACCGAUAGUGAACCAGUACCGUGAGGGAAAGGCGAAAAGAACCCCGGCGAGGGGAGUGAAAAAGAACCUGAAACCGUGUACGUACAAGCAGUGGGAGCACGCUUAGGCGUGUGACUGCGUACCUUUUGUAUAAUGGGUCAGCGACUUAUAUUCUGUAGCAAGGUUAACCGAAUAGGGGAGCCGAAGGGAAACCGAGUCUUAACUGGGCGUUAAGUUGCAGGGUAUAGACCCGAAACCCGGUGAUCUAGCCAUGGGCAGGUUGAAGGUUGGGUAACACUAACUGGAGGACCGAACCGACUAAUGUUGAAAAAUUAGCGGAUGACUUGUGGCUGGGGGUGAAAGGCCAAUCAAACCGGGAGAUAGCUGGUUCUCCCCGAAAGCUAUUUAGGUAGCGCCUCGUGAAUUCAUCUCCGGGGGUAGAGCACUGUUUCGGCAAGGGGGUCAUCCCGACUUACCAACCCGAUGCAAACUGCGAAUACCGGAGAAUGUUAUCACGGGAGACACACGGCGGGUGCUAACGUCCGUCGUGAAGAGGGAAACAACCCAGACCGCCAGCUAAGGUCCCAAAGUCAUGGUUAAGUGGGAAACGAUGUGGGAAGGCCCAGACAGCCAGGAUGUUGGCUUAGAAGCAGCCAUCAUUUAAAGAAAGCGUAAUAGCUCACUGGUCGAGUCGGCCUGCGCGGAAGAUGUAACGGGGCUAAACCAUGCACCGAAGCUGCGGCAGCGACGCUUAUGCGUUGUUGGGUAGGGGAGCGUUCUGUAAGCCUGUGAAGGUGUGCUGUGAGGCAUGCUGGAGGUAUCAGAAGUGCGAAUGCUGACAUAAGUAACGAUAAAGCGGGUGAAAAGCCCGCUCGCCGGAAGACCAAGGGUUCCUGUCCAACGUUAAUCGGGGCAGGGUGAGUCGACCCCUAAGGCGAGGCCGAAAGGCGUAGUCGAUGGGAAACAGGUUAAUAUUCCUGUACUUGGUGUUACUGCGAAGGGGGGACGGAGAAGGCUAUGUUGGCCGGGCGACGGUUGUCCCGGUUUAAGCGUGUAGGCUGGUUUUCCAGGCAAAUCCGGAAAAUCAAGGCUGAGGCGUGAUGACGAGGCACUACGGUGCUGAAGCAACAAAUGCCCUGCUUCCAGGAAAAGCCUCUAAGCAUCAGGUAACAUCAAAUCGUACCCCAAACCGACACAGGUGGUCAGGUAGAGAAUACCAAGGCGCUUGAGAGAACUCGGGUGAAGGAACUAGGCAAAAUGGUGCCGUAACUUCGGGAGAAGGCACGCUGAUAUGUAGGUGAAGCGACUUGCUCGUGGAGCUGAAAUCAGUCGAAGAUACCAGCUGGCUGCAACUGUUUAUUAAAAACACAGCACUGUGCAAACACGAAAGUGGACGUAUACGGUGUGACGCCUGCCCGGUGCCGGAAGGUUAAUUGAUGGGGUCAGCGCAAGCGAAGCUCUUGAUCGAAGCCCCGGUAAACGGCGGCCGUAACUAUAACGGUCCUAAGGUAGCGAAAUUCCUUGUCGGGUAAGUUCCGACCUGCACGAAUGGCGUAAUGAUGGCCAGGCUGUCUCCACCCGAGACUCAGUGAAAUUGAACUCGCUGUGAAGAUGCAGUGUACCCGCGGCAAGACGGAAAGACCCCGUGAACCUUUACUAUAGCUUGACACUGAACAUUGAGCCUUGAUGUGUAGGAUAGGUGGGAGGCUUUGAAGUGUGGACGCCAGUCUGCAUGGAGCCGACCUUGAAAUACCACCCUUUAAUGUUUGAUGUUCUAACGUUGACCCGUGAUCCGGGUUGCGGACAGUGUCUGGUGGGUAGUUUGACUGGGGCGGUCUCCUCCUAAAGAGUAACGGAGGAGCACGAAGGUUGGCUAAUCCUGGUCGGACAUCAGGAGGUUAGUGCAAUGGCAUAAGCCAGCUUGACUGCGAGCGUGACGGCGCGAGCAGGUGCGAAAGCAGGUCAUAGUGAUCCGGUGGUUCUGAAUGGAAGGGCCAUCGCUCAACGGAUAAAAGGUACUCCGGGGAUAACAGGCUGAUACCGCCCAAGAGUUCAUAUCGACGGCGGUGUUUGGCACCUCGAUGUCGGCUCAUCACAUCCUGGGGCUGAAGUAGGUCCCAAGGGUAUGGCUGUUCGCCAUUUAAAGUGGUACGCGAGCUGGGUUUAGAACGUCGUGAGACAGUUCGGUCCCUAUCUGCCGUGGGCGCUGGAGAACUGAGGGGGGCUGCUCCUAGUACGAGAGGACCGGAGUGGACGCAUCACUGGUGUUCGGGUUGUCAUGCCAAUGGCACUGCCCGGUAGCUAAAUGCGGAAGAGAUAAGUGCUGAAAGCAUCUAAGCACGAAACUUGCCCCGAGAUGAGUUCUCCCUGACUCCUUGAGAGUCCUGAAGGAACGUUGAAGACGACGACGUUGAUAGGCCGGGUGUGUAAGCGCAGCGAUGCGUUGAGCUAACCGGUACUAAUGAACCGUGAGGCUUAACCUU
rnacentral:rRNA from 2 species